rnacentral:rRNA from 1 species
AGAGUUUGAUCCUGGCUCAGGAGGAACGCUGGCGGCGUGCCUAAUACAUGCAAGUCGAACGAGAGCGACCGGUGCUUGCUCUGGUCAAUCUAGUGGCGAACGGGUGAGUAACACGUGGGUACCCUGCCCAUCAGAGGGGGAUAACAUUCGGAAACGGAUGCUAAAACCGCAUAGGUCCUUUAACCGCAUGGUUGAAGGAGGAAAAGAGGCGCAAGCUUCUGCUGAUGGAUGGACCCGCGGUGCAUUAGCUAGUUGGUGAGGUAACGGCUCACCAAGGCCGUGAUGCAUAGCCGACCUGAGAGGGUGAUCGGCCACAUUGGGACUGAGACACGGCCCAAACUCCUACGGGAGGCAGCAGUAGGGAAUCUUCCGCAAUGGACGCAAGUCUGACGGAGCAACGCCGCGUGAGUGAAGAAGGUUUUCGGAUCGUAAAACUCUGUUGUUAGAGAAGAACAAGUGCUAGAGUAACUGUUAGCGCCUUGACGGUAUCUAACCAGAAAGCCACGGCUAACUACGUGCCAGCAGCCGCGGUAAUACGUAGGUGGCAAGCGUUGUCCGGAUUUAUUGGGCGUAAAGCGAGCGCAGGCGGUUCCUUAAGUCUGAUGUGAAAGCCCCCGGCUCAACCGGGGAGGGUCAUUGGAAACUGGGGAACUUGAGUGCAGAAGAGGAGAGUGGAAUUCCAUGUGUAGCGGUGAAAUGCGUAGAUAUAUGGAGGAACACCAGUGGCGAAGGCGACUCUCUGGUCUGUAACUGACGCUGAGGCUCGAAAGCGUGGGUAGCAAACAGGAUUAGAUACCCUGGUAGUCCACGCCGUAAACG